GGAAUGGAAUACAAAGGUUUUCUUGCUUCCGUGGAUUCUUACAUGAACCUACAGCUAGGCAACACUGAAGAAUAUAUUGAUGGUCAAUUCACUGGAAAUUUGGGAGAGAUUUUGAUCAGAUGCAACAAUGUUCUGUAUCUUCGUGGUGUUCCAGAGGAUGAAGACAUAGAGGAUGCUGACCAUGACUGAGGAAUGGACUUACAGUCGUUGAAUUAUAUAACUGUAAUCCCAUGUGAAAUCUUUACUUGGUUAAAAUGUUAUGUUCAACGCAUGGACGCGAGUGAUGGCUUGAUUUUUUAGUCAUGUCGUAAUAUUACUAGUUAAUUUUUGUAUCUCAUUUCAAGACCGUCAAGGCUAUUUUCAAUCAACUUUAAAAUAGAUGGAAUAUCUAUU
rnacentral:misc_RNA from 1 species